rnacentral:tRNA from 1 species
GCCCGGGUACUCCAACUGGUCGAGAGAGCGGCCUUAAAAGCCGUGGCCCGCAAGGGCGUGCGGGUUCGAAUCCCGCUCCGGGCA